rnacentral:snoRNA from 1 species
AUACCAUGGUGCGGACAUAUAAUCAGCAUCCCUUUGAAUCGUUCCCAUGUUUCAUGUAGUGUCUCUAUUGGUCUCUGUUUGAAACUCAAAAUUUCAUCAAUUUGUUG